CUUCUCAGGAAUGGCAGAUUAACUACGGUAAACAAUAACGAAAGCCCAAUAAACAUUUCCCAGUUUACUCAUCUUUGCGGAACAAAUUUUAAGGAUAAGAAAAUAUGUGUGCAUAUUAGAUAGAUUUGUUAUAAUUUAGAAUACAGUUUUGAAGAUGGAGGAAGAGGAAGUAGUUAUUAAGAAUGAUGUUGAAGUUGGUGCUAGCUCUGCUGUGACUCUUGAAUGCCCAGAUGUAGAUGACAUCAGGCUACAGAGACUUGGUCGUACAAGAGCUGCUCUUCAGGCUUUUGAUCCUGUCCUGGCUCGCUCGGUAUUACCACCAAAUGUAAG